GAUGAACGCUGGCGGCGUGCUUAACACAUGCAAGUCGAACGGAAAGGCCCAAGCUUGCUUGGGUACUCGAGUGGCGAACGGGUGAGUAACACGUGGGUGAUCUGCCCUGCACUUCGGGAUAAGCCUGGGAAACUGGGUCUAAUACCGGAUAGGACGAUGGUUUGGAUGCCAUUGUGGAAAGUUUUUUCGGUGUGGGAUGAGCUCGCGGCCUAUCAGCUUGUUGGUGGGGUAAUGGCCUACCAAGGCGUCGACGGGUAGCCGGCCUGAGAGGGUGUACGGCCACAUUGGGACUGAGAUACGGCCCAGACUCCUACGGGAGGCAGCAGGGGGGAAUAUUGCACAAUGGGCGCAAGCCUGAUGCAGCGACGCCGCGUGGGGGAUGACGGCCUUCGGGUUGUAAACUCCUUUCGCUAGGGACGAAGCGUUUUUGUGACGGUACCUGGAGAAGAAGCACCGGCUAACUACGUG
rnacentral:rRNA from 1 species